rnacentral:rRNA from 1 species
UACGGAGGGUGCGAGCGUUGUCCGGAAUCACUGGGCGUAAAGGGCGCGUAGGCGGCCUGAUAAGUAGGGGGUGAAAUCCUGCGGCUUAACCGCAGGGCUGCCUUCUAAACUGUCAGGCUAGAGCACAGUAGAGGCAGGUGGAAUUCCCGGUGUAGCGGUGGAAUGCGUAGAGAUGCGGAGGAACACCGAUGGCGAAGGCAGCCCCCCUGGGCUGACACUGACGCUCAGGCACGAAAGCGUGGGGAGCAAACAGG